rnacentral:rRNA from 1 species
ACGAACGCUGGCGGCGUGCUUAACACAUGCAAGUCGAACGGAAAGGCCCUGCUUUUGUGGGGUGCUCGAGUGGCGAACGGGUGAGUAACACGUGAGUAACCUGCCCUUGACUUUGGGAUAACUUCAGGAAACUGGGGCUAAUACCGGAUAGGAGCUCCUGCUGCAUGGUGGGGGUUGGAAAGUUUCGGCGGUUGGGGAUGGACUCGCGGCUUAUCAGCUUGUUGGUGGGGUAGUGGCUUACCAAGGCUUUGACGGGUAGCCGGCCUGAGAGGGUGACCGGCCACAUUGGGACUGAGAUACGGCCCAGACUCCUACGGGAGGCAGCAGUGGGGAAUAUUGCACAAUGGGCGGAAGCCUGAUGCAGCAACGCCGCGUGCGGGAUGACGGCCUCCGGGUUGUAAACCGCUUUCGCCUGUGACGAAGCGUGAGUGGCGGUAAUGGGUAAAGAAGCACCGGCUAACUACGUG